UACGGGGGGGGCAAGCGUUGUUCGGAAUUACUGGGCGUAAAGAGUGUGUAGGCGGUGCUCUAAGUUCGGUGUGAAAUCUCCCGGCUUAACUGGGAGGGUGCGGCGGAAACUGGUGUGCUCGAGGGUGGGAGAGGUAAGCGGAAUUCCUGGUGUAGCGGUGAAAUGCGUAGAUAUCAAGAGGAACACCUGAGGUGAAGACGGGUUGCUGGGCCGACACUGACGCUGAGUGCGCGAAAGCCAGGGGAGCAAACGGG
rnacentral:rRNA from 1 species